rnacentral:lncRNA from 1 species
UUCCUUUAUUCGAAUUUUGCGUUCUGUUCCUGCACUCAGCUCCGCCUCCUCCUUUAGUGCCUCCCCAGCCUCAGCCACCUCUUGUUCCAUGGUCUCUGCUGUCCAGCUGGUCUCUGCUUUUGCUCUCUCACACAGAUCCCUCAGGUUCAACUUGCCAAAAAGUUCAAGGGUCAUUUUCUGGGCCAGUUUUUCUGGGUAGUAUUUGUUUAUCAAGUUAGCAAGUUGCUUUCGAUCGGCCCUCUUCACUGCAGGCCAGGGGAUUAGGCGGUGCUCAGCUUCUGUGGUCUCCCUUAGAAGUCACUUGAAUUUAUUUAAUUCCUCAUUAUUUAGCUCCUCCAAAUGCAAUAGCAGCCCAAAAUCGGUAAAGGAGGAAAAUAUUGGUGAAUCUACCAUCUUGUCCUUGGAUCAGGGUUCAGGCUCUUGGGUGUCAGUGGUGCAGGUCAAACUCCACCACCAAAAGCCAUGCAUCCUAGAGGGAACAGGAAAAUUUGAAAGGGCUCCACAGAUUUCUCUGCUCUUCUGUACCAACUCCAGGCAAACCGCAUCAGUAUGUCCCAGGUGGGCUGCAGCUCAAUUUAAAGUAAGAUUUUGUAACUAUCCUUGGAAACACUUGAGCACAUUAUAGCUUCCCAGUGGGGAAGGUGGACUGUGAGCUUUGUUAUGAGUCCCC